ensembl:lncRNA
GUGAGCAGUACGCAUCUGAAGCUUUGCAGACACAGCUAGCAUGUAUUUGGAAGCAAGUAUUUUUAGAAGACUUGCUUCACAGCCUGUGGUUCUUCGUUGCAUUUUUGCGUGGUUUAAUGUUCUUCUACGUUACAUUCACGUUUACUUUUAUUCAUUCAGCAGACACUUUUAUCCGAAGCGACUUACGAAUGAGAAAAUGCAAGCAAAGCGAUAUAUCAAGCGGAGAACGAUACAGGCAAAGCGCGCAGAGUAGAGGUGUAAGAGCCAGACAAGACAGAGAGGACAGCCAUGACGGAAGGCUCGGUUUGCAGAAUAGGGCUGGAGUAUUUUCUCAGGUUUAUCCUGUGGGGAAAAUCCAGAAAUCCAGAGCGCCGUAGACCAACUGAAUAAAUGAUGCAGG